UCUUUAGACAACAUCUCACAUAACUCAAGACUGAUGGGGAGCUCACUACAUAGCCAAGAAUGACCUGGAACUCUUGGUCUCCUUGAGUGGAAUCUAAGUGAGGUACAUGUGCUCAUGCGAAUGACGGGAAAGGAGGUGGCCCAUUCUAUGGCAUACAGGUGGAGGCCAGAGGACAACUUCGUGGAACCAGUUCUCUCCUUCCACCUCUAACUUGAAUUCCAAGGAUCUGAUUCAGGUUCUUUUUUUCGGAGCUGGGGACCGAACCCAGGGCCUUGCGCUUUGUUUACCUUUCUGUUUAAGGAGCUUUCCUGCAGCACAGAAUAUUUCAAUCUCAAAAGAAACUGUUAUACCCUACUGAUCAAGAGAAUGUAAUAUAAUACCUGGUAGUGACUGAAAAUGCCCUGGGCUUGUGUCCCCAACUUCCUUUAAGGGCAGGAGGAAAGACUCUUCCCAAAGGCAAAGUGAACUGCCAAGAAUGGAGAAUAAACUUUGUAUCUAAGAAUAAACUUCUACCCACAGCGCAUGGGCCCAUCUGUUCACCAAAUUGGCUACACUUAGCUGGCCAAUGUGUUUGUCAUAAGUCUCACUACAAAAAUCCCAGAAUGAAAUGGACAAACUUCCUCAAAAGAUUAAUAACAGGUAACAUGUAAA